CACGGGGUUGCGAGCGUUGUCCGGAAUUACUGGGCGUAAAGGGUGCGUAGGUGGUUUCUUAAGUCAGAGGUGAAAGGCUACGGCUCAACCGUAGUAAGCUCUUGAAACUGUAAGACUUGAGUGCAGGAGAGGAGAGUGGAAUUCCUAGUGUAGCGGUGAAAUGCGUAGAUAUUAGGAGGAACACCAGUUGCGAAGGCGGCUCUCUGGACUGUAACUGACGCUGAGGCACGAAAGCGUGGGGAGCAAACAGGAUUAGAUACCCUGGUAGUCCCU
rnacentral:rRNA from 1 species